rnacentral:lncRNA from 1 species
AAUAUUCCCAUUCCCUCUUCUCUUUCCAGUUCAAGCCCUAAUUGUCGACCAUGGAGAUUCAAGAACCAGAUUCGCGAACUCGCAAGCCCUAAUUGCUUCCUCUGUGCUUCCUAACGUCUGUCGUCUUCCCUGUCUCCAUCACCAAAUUCGCAAGCCCUAAUUGCUCCUCUGUGCUCCAUCACCAAAUUCGUCUCCAUCACCAAAUUCACGUCCGCGAAGACGCCCUAUUGCGUCUGUUAAGAGCUGCGUCGGCAGGUAUUGAAGAACCAGAGUCGAAGGACUCGAGCAGAGCCCUAAUUCGAAGAAGAGGUGUUGGUUCGCGAGCUUCUGAAAUUCGUAGGAAACUGAAAUUUGUACUUGUGCUUUCAAAUUAGAAGGGAGCCAUGAGAGAGCAGGGUGAAGGAAGCAAGGAGAAGGGAGCCAUGAGAGAGUGGUACACAUUUUUUUCAAUUUCGAACUAUGAUUGUUCUGUUUCAAUUGAGUUCUUAUGUUUAAUGAUUGAUAUUUCUUUCAAUUUGCAGUAAUUAUUUUGCUCUUUUCAUACACCAUGGUGGAUAUUUUGUUGAUGUUGAUGGAGUUGAAUGCUAUAUGAAGGGGCAUUAUAUAGGAAGAUAUGACUUUGAAGAGCAUAAUUUCGAUUUGGAGAAACUU